rnacentral:rRNA from 1 species
GACGAACGCUGGCGGCGUGCUUAACACAUGCAAGUCGAGCGGUAAGGCCCUUUCGGGGGUACACGAGCGGCGAACGGGUGAGUAACACGUGGGUGACCUGCCCUUAGCUCUGGGAUAAGCCUGGGAAACUGGGUCUAAUACCGGAUAUGACUCCAUAACGCAUGUUGUGGGGUGGAAAGCCUUGUGCGGCUAGGGAUGGGCCCGCGGCCUAUCAGCUUGUUGGUGGGGUGAUGGCCUACCAAGGCGACGACGGGUAGCCGGCCUGAGAGGGCGACCGGCCACACUGGGACUGAGACACGGCCCAGACUCCUACGGGAGGCAGCAGUGGGGAAUCUUGCGCAAUGGGCGAAAGCCUGACGCAGCGACGCCGCGUGGGGAU